UGUUGCUAUUGCUCCCCUUGCUACCGCUGACACUUGGCACCGCCGCCUCCUAGCAGCGGCCAGACGCGGGGCUGGGGGCCCUCCACGCAAACCGAAGGAGAUACGGACAUCGCCAUUCUCCCCACCGCGCGAGCCGGGCCCGCCACCCACGCAGGGGAGACCGUGCCCGUGCCCCUCUCCCGCGCCUGCCGCAGAUGCAGGGAAAACCGCCUGACAUCAUGAGAGCGGGACAAACGCUCACUUUGAAGGAUUCCUGGGCAGGACUUCAAGUGAAAUCAUAUGCCUGAGAAGAACUUGAUACCGGUCUAGAGAAAAUAACCAGUUCUGACUUUGCCAAACCAUGGAAUGUGCAAAAUGCUCUACUUUUUUGCAAGAGGCCAAAUGUCCCUUAAAAAGCUCCAUUAUGAAUAUGAACCUUAAGACCGAAGGGUCAAGAAGCUUGUGCCGUUGUUGAGUGUGGGAAAAAAUUUACACACAUCGUGCAAGUUUCUGCUCCUUAACAUUAUUUUAUUAAUAAUAAGUUCCACUUUGGGGAGGGGAACCUGUAACUGUGCGUGAAUUAUCAUCUGGACAUGUGCUUCUGUGAACAAAAGGGGAAAUGUGCAUAUGGGUAAAAAAAUUACAGCUUUCUUAUAACUAAAGGCUAUCAAUCUGACCAACUUAUAAGAUAAAAAUAAUCAAUAGCACAGUAAAGGAAACAUUAAAUUUUCUACAAUUUACCCAAGACAAUUUAAUACAAUACUUUCCCCUAGCAAAUGCAUUCUGAAGGAAAAAGAUCCCAAGUGAACCAACACAUUAAUUGGAAAGCGUUAGCUUCUUAUUUCCGAAAACAAGAGGUAAUUCAUUCUAUGUGUUCUUUAAAUAAGGGUAGGUAGCAAAAAUAAAAUGAAAUAACAUAAAAUCAAAAGAAGAUAUAAUGGUGGAGGAAAAGAAACAGGUGGCUUCAUUUCUAUUCUAAAAAAGAAUUUCACGAUUUAUGUCUUGUGUAUACAGGGGUAGGGAUUAGAAUCUGCAAGCUGGAAAUUGCAUUCCAGUAGUGAAUAUUUUUCAUUGUGCAGUCGCCUCAUUCAAAAUAAAAUUACCACCUUUUUCAUUCAUGUAUUUCUCUGAAAAUCUGGGGGGGAAACAUUACCUUCAGUUUAGUAUUUAAUAUUACUAUAAAUAUGGCAUUUGCUUUUCUCCAAAGUGUUUCCCCUUAUGAAAAAAGUAGAAAAAGCAAAACACAUUAAAAAAAGAAAGAAAUAAAAGAAAGGCAAAUGGAGAGCUACCUUUCUUUGACACAUCUAGUUCUUAUAUCCAGAGUUAAGAUAACAAUUACCUUCUCAGCAGUGAUGGCCAGCUCCAUCCUGGUGUACCUUAAGAAAUCUGAAAUAUCAAAUAGUCAGACCAAGCUAGUGAACAAGGAGACUCCCCAUGAAUAAUUUAGAAAAUGGAGGUGGUUGGAUGAUACGUACAAAAAAGAAUUACCAACCUAAUGCUUUCCCUCAUCCUCCUAGGGCACCCUCCUUACAUUUCUAACCUGCCUUACACACAACACACACACACCCCCCACAAAUACACCAACACAUAAUCGCCUUCCCUUUCUGUUAUUUGCUAAAGGACUAUCAAAAUAAAAAAAUAAUAAUACUUCUCCAAGCUUUCACUAACCUUUUAAUACAAGUAAAUGCUGCAGACUCCUUAUUGUAAAAUAUUGUCUGAAAUAUUAACAAUAAA
rnacentral:antisense_RNA from 1 species